GUACGGGGGGGCAAGCGUUGUUCGGAAUACUGGGCGUAAAGGGCUCGUAGGCGGCCAACUAAAGUCGGACGUGAAAUCCCCAGGCUCAACCUGGGAACUGCGUCCGAUACUGGAUGGCUUGAAUCCGGGAGAGGGAUGCAGAAUUCCAGGUGUAGCGGUGAAAUGCGUAGAUAUCUGGAGGAAUACCGGUGGCGAAGGCGGCAUCCUGGACCGGCAUUGACGCUGAGGAGCGAAAAGCCAGGGGGAGCAAACGGGGA
rnacentral:rRNA from 1 species